AGUGAACGCUGGCGGUAGGCCUAACACAUGCAAGUCGAACGGCAGCACAGUAAGAGCUUGCUCUUACGGGUGGCGAGUGGCGGACGGGUGAGGAAUACAUCGGAAUCUACUUUUUCGUGGGGGAUAACGUAGGGAAACUUACGCUAAUACCGCAUACGACCUACGGGUGAAAGCAGGGGAUCUUCGGACCUUGCGCGAUUGAAUGAGCCGAUGUGGGAUUAGCUAGUUGGCGGGGUAAAGGCCCACCAAGGCGACGAUCCGUAGCUGGUGUGAGUGGAUGGUCGCCCACACUAGAAGUGGAACGCGGUCCAGAGUCCUGCGGGAGGCAGCAGUGGGGAAUAUUGGACAAUGGGCGCGAGCCUGAUCCAGCCAUACCGCGUGGGUGGAGAAGGCCUUGGGGUUGUAAAGCCCUUUUGUUGGGAGAGAAAAGCAGCAGGUUAAUACCACGCUGUUCUGACGGUACCCAAAGAAUAAGCACCGGCUAACUUCGUG
rnacentral:rRNA from 1 species